rnacentral:piRNA from 1 species
UCUAAGCAUCGUUGGCUAUCAUGGGUGGC